UCCAUGAUUCUUGGACUUCAACAGGGAAAAGAAAGAAAAAAAAAAAAAAGCAGGAAUUGCCUUGUAUUUUGAUUACAAUUUUCUAUAUAAGUAGGACACAUUCUAAAUAUUAUUAUAUUGAGUUAGUCCAUCCAACAGUAUAAAUAUGAAAUUCUAGUAUUUUCACUUAAAUCCUGAGUCCACAUCACUUGUAUCCAUGGUGAUAGUAAGACUCUUGUUCUGAUUUCUUUUCAAGUCAGUGUUGUGAUUCUUAGUGAUUUUGAAACUGCUUUUCAGUAAUUCUAAAAAUUAAUGGUUAGGCAAAUAUUCUCAGCUUUGGCUCUGUCUUUAGUGUGCAUGCACCCGUUAUUAAGUGACAAUCUACAGCAGCAAACCCUUUCAUUGUGGUUUAGAUUUUCAUGUUGUGUCUGUAGGGAUAGCAUAUUCUAUUUUAACAAGAUCUGGUGAUAUUGUACCAAAGCUUGCUAUGUGCUUUACUGGGAAAUAAAAAGGUUAAGCUCUUUGUUUGUAGAGAUAGCUGGCAUGGUUUAGCUUUAGUAGAAGGAGUGAGCAACAGGAAUGAGGGAGUGGGGUGAUAAAUCAGAACACUUGCUUCAAUAGAUAUCUCUCUUUGUACAGUAAUUUGCUCUCAGUAAGAUAGUUAGGGUUUGUUUAUCAUUCAUUAUCGUCUUUUCUGUGGGUGUGCAGCUUGGAAAAUGUGUUUGUGCUUGGGGGGGACAACAUAAAGCAAAAAGGUGAGACUAUAAGGAAAAGGCAGAUAAUAUAGAUAGGGAUCCCCUUGCUCCAUAUAUAUGUUCUAGAGGGAAGGAGAGAGGAAGGCAAGUGAUGGUAGUGCAGAAGGUACAGGAAGGUACAGAAGCAAUACCAUGGAAAGCAAGUGAGAAAUACCCUCAAUUUUGACAGCUCUUGAGGGAGGAAACUUUGGGCACUCCACAGAAGGGAGGACAUGAAAUAUUACCCCAAAGGGACCGGCAAAGCUCCAGAUAUCUGCCUUCAGGGUCACUCUGGGACACUCUGAAGUCUUACGGCCUCGGAGACUGUUUCCUCCUACAGAGUACCAUAAGGAUGACACUGGAGCUGGAGGUGGCUGGAAGAAUCACCACAUUUAUGCUCCCUUCCUCUCUCAGUUGGGUUGGAGAGCACACAUAGAAACCCGGGCCUGGGUUCUAAGCCCUAGCAGGCUUGCAGCGUAUGAUAAGUUGCUGUGGGAGUGUAACUGAUGCGCCUCAUUAGAGUUUGAGAUUGUUUUCUGGCUGUCCUACAAGUGCACCAAACUGAGUAUACCUUGUCUCAGGAAUGAAGUGGUCUCCAGUUUGCCUUUGAAUUGAAACCACCUUCUAAGAGACUUCCUCAACCCUGACCUCAUCAGCAGAGAACAGAGCUGUGUUGGAACAUGAGGGGAGUAUUAGAUCAUGGAAACUAAGUAAGUCGAAGGACUUAAUCUAAUUCCUUCAUUCCUAGGUUGUUUUUCUUAAUGUCAUAACAAAUUAGAAGGACUACCUAGUGCAGGAAAAAAAAAACACCACUACCCAAAACAAAGCCCUAGAAAAAAUAACACUAGUUCCAGGCUUGUGAUGUCUUUGACUUAUGUUCUGAUUUGUGUCUACUGAUGUAUAUCUGAAUAUACAUGUAUUCUCCAGAAUAUGUUUUAUGUUGUCUUGCAUGAAGCUGUGGGUUACUGAUGCCACUGGAAUGUGAUAGAAAACUGGAAUGAGAUAGUUUUGAAAUUCCUUGUAAAAAGGAUUGUGCUGAAUAUGAUCAAAGGCUGAUGAGAUGAUCCAGAAGUGGUACUGAUGAUCUGUGAUUUCAGUAUUUCAGGAGAAUAUAGCCUACGAGCAGAAAUGGUUGAAACAGCUGUAAAAAAUUAGAGCUUUUAUUUUAAUUGUUAAUGAAAGAUGAUAGAAGGCAUUCAUUGCAAACUGAAGCUUGUGAACACAUUGGUCAUGUAACAGUUCUUGUACACUGGCUCAGGCUGUAAUGUUAGAGCAUCUCCAAGUCUGAGGACUGAUUGGGUUAGUUUUCCAGCUGCCCUUAGACAGAUGGAGGAAUGGAUGGAUGCCAGACCUCUCUGUUUUCUCUACAGGUUUUAUGUGACCCAGCAGAGCUUUACUGAAACAGCAGGUCCUGUGCCACUCAUGUAGUAAAGGCUAAUGGUUUCGUUGCUGAAAUUUUUAGGUUUUCUGUGUGCAGUUGUAAGCAUCCCAUUUAUCUAACAGCUGUGCCAUUGUUCUUUAUGGCCACUGACUUGAAUGAGUUACCAGAAGCUGUUUUCAGAAGGGUCUCUUUGCUGUCUGUGGCUGUUUUUAUCUAUGUUCCUGUGCCCCUCAGAAAGAGCUGGGCUUUAAAAAGGUGUGACUCAGCACAGUUGUGUCAUGUCAUUUAUUAUUAUUUCUUGCUGAGAGCCUUGGGCAUUACCUCAACACAAUUAUGAAACAGGGCCCUAUUGUGGCCAGCUCAGUACAUAAAUAAGCUGAAGGGUAGUCCUGUUACAAAUUAAACAGUACAAUAAGAAAUACCAGCUAGAGACAACAAAAUGAGUGCAGAAAAACAUGACAAUAUUGUAGCCAUCAGUGGUUGGGCUAGUGGGCAACUGUCACAGCAAAAAACCACAGGAUAAAAUAGUUUGCAAGAAGCUCUUUGAAAAACAAAACAAAGCAAAUGAACAAACAAACAAAAAACAACCUGCCCCUUCCUCCCCCACACCCCAAUAAAAGUCCAGAAACCUUACAUCACAUUUAUUAGUCAUAAAGAAGCAAAAGUUGUGAAGAUUGAUAAAAUGUUUACAGAAUGAUUGAAUUUGGGUAUUAGCAAAUCUGGAGUGUCCUAAGCCUUAGACCAGAGAGAUCAUCUAACACGUCCGCUGCCCUAGAGAGGAGUUUCAGAACCCAUCCCUGCUUCCAGGAGAAGGUACAGAGACAUCCAGAGAAGCCCCAUUUAGAUAAAAGUUUCAGUAAUUUCCAAGCUCUCUGCUGCAGAGCGUGAGCUCAGUUAGAUCUAGAGCUCUAGGACUUUUGGUUCCCUGGCACCAUGUUUGACUAUCUCCAAGCAAUAGGUCUUGAAAGCACUCGCAACACACUUUGGAGCAUGGGAGCACAGGAGUCCCUGGAGAUGUGCCAAGGGUACAGGCAGAGUCCAUGCAAAUCUUCUCUUCAGUCUCCCAAAGCUUACUGAGAAUAUGCAGUUUGGGAGUUCUGUCUGCCUCUCACUGGUGACAACACUUUCUUCUAGGGAGAAGCUGACGAUUUGUAGUCAUCAUAUGUACGUGUCUAACCACUGACAAGUAUCUGAUAGACCUUGUGAUUGCAAAAUGUGUUUCAUUUUAGGGGAGUUUUGAAGGGCAGAAGUGAUCCUGUUUUGCAUAUUUUCAUGAGAACUCCAUUAAGACUUAAGGGCUAUCUUUAAUGAGAGAGGUGGCUGAGGGAAAAUUACAUUGCUGGGUGGACAAAACACAUUGAUGUGCACAUCAGCAGCUGGGUGUCACAGAGAUUGUAAGAACUCUUUUAAAGAUCUUGCCAUCCACCUUGCAUCCUAUGACCUGCUAUAUAGAUUGUGGAAUUUGUUCUUUUUGUGUCUUAGCUACAAAGGAGAUAAUUAAGGGUCUGAGCAUUAAUGUCUGCUGACAGAUUUCCAUUGAGUUUCAUGGUCAUUGAGUCCACUCAUAUUUGAAAUGUUCAGUUAUCUCCACAAGAAAAAGGUGGUAGAUGACCAGAAGAGAUCAUAUUGUUCCUGUUGUCACUGAUUUCCUUUGCUAAACUCCAGCAAGGUAGAAGGUUGCAUUACCCAAAUCAGCACUAAGAAAUAAAAAAGUCAUAAAAAGGUCAGUUUCACUCCUGCUGCACAGAGCUAUACCUGAUGUAAGUGUACUGACUUCCUUUAAUUUUAUUUCAUGCAGCUAUUAGUAUUUAUAUUGUGAGAUCUCUGGAAAUUGAGGAGAUGUAGGAUUUGGAAAGCAAAUAAUGUUUGAAUCUUCAAUUUGAGAUAAAUAAGAAGCACACUUUGGAGGUAAAUAUCACAUAGUACAGAAAAUACAUGGGUCGAGGGUAGUAUUUUACUGGAACUGAGAAAUUUUAUAGUCUUCUUAGAGCCAAGAAAGAAUGGAGAUAGUGAAAAAAGCAAGGGCAACUGCCCUCCUCUCCUGAAUUACCCCCCCACAACCACCACCAAAGUCUGUGUUAAAAAGGAAUGGUGGGGAGCAGGAGAGGUACAAUUAGGCAAAGUAGGCAUUGGAGAGGCAUUUAGAUAAAAGAGUUCACAAUAAAAAAUAGAAUACAAGAAAGGAAAUUAACAAAUAAAAAGCAGUCUGAAAUCCCACAAAGUCCAGCAAGGCCACUGUAAUAAUCUACAGACAGAAAACCUCUGAGCAAAAAGGGGUUGUUCGUAGCAGGUGGAGCUGAGAUAUCAAGAGGAGCACAGCAGAGUCUAUGAGGAGACAUGAAAAACCAACCCAACCCUUUUUCCUAGUCCUUUUCCAGUAUAAGUUAGCCUUGUCCCAUAGUAAAAGAGAGCUCUGCUUCAGUGACUGCUGCUGUACAGGAACUGGCUGGCUGAAAAGACAGUGCAUUGUUUUCUUAAAUACAAUUAAAUAACCCUUUGCUUUCUCUGAAGGAAUAGCAGAGGUCCUCUGUAGUAGUAUGAAUGCACCUGGGUUGCCAUGCUCCAGCUGCGAGCCAAGUAAGGUUUUCUGCAUGUGUGGUGAGUCCGUAGCCACUCUGUUGCAUCAUUUAAUUCCCAUUAUCAAGGACACGAGGUAGGUGCAGUGAGUGCUUCUGCUGGGGAGCAGCCACCAGCUCUUGGGGUUGUAGAUGAGGAGGUUUUUGCCACCUGAGGGAUGAGGGGUCAAGACACCGCAGCAUUGUGGCAGGCCAAUACCACAGUCACCAUGGACACUUUAGUCUUUGGGCAGCAUUGGCCACUGUGGACAUCAGCAGCUUACUGUUUUGCUUUCCUGACAGGCUGCUGAGCUGAGCUGCCUUUCUCAGGGCCACAUUAGGCUCAAGAGCCAAUGCAAAAAAAGCUGCAGCUAGCAUGGCUAGGAGAGGGGAGCAAGAGUGCCUUUUCUGAGCUGUAAGGCGAAUUUUAUCAUUAAAAGGCUGCUCAGCAACAGCAUGGACUUCAAAUGCAUUUAAUCCAAGUCAUAAAAUCUGAGUAGCUCUGGAAGAGAAGGGGAUGUGAAAUAGACAUUACAAAAAUAAGCAGGGUGGAGGGACUAGAAGAAACAAAAGACCAUAGGAGAAUGGUCUGGUCUGUUGCAUAAUGUAUUUUGAACAUCUCAGGACAUCUGUAAGCUCACAACAAAAUAAGUCUUAAUAAAGUCUGUUCUCUAUAGAAGUGAAUUAGGCACAUUUCUUACUGGUAAUAUCUGGGUUGGGGGCUCUUUGUGAGGUACAGCUGUAGGAGCUGCUAACGCCAGUGACACCUGAAAUUGGGUAAAGCAUUGCGUACUAUCAUCAGCCAUUAAUGAGAAAUACAGAAAUAAUGAAUUAGUGCUUUGGUUAGUGAGCAAAAGCAAGUGAUCAAUUAUGUCACUUUUACAGCUCUGUAUAGUAUAACACCCUUUCAUAUGGAUCUGAGAACACAAAAAUCUUACCCCCUGUGAUUAUCUCCUUCUCCUUUAUAGUCAUCCUCCCAUCUCCCUUUAGAUGUUCAUGGGGCCAGACCCUGCUGGUGUACAAGCUGUUCAGCCUAAGUCUGUGAGGACAUGCCAAGGUACCACAACUGACUGUCUUUCCCCAAGGGAUCAUAUUUUCUCUGAUUCACAAGAUGGUUAAAUUCUUCUCCACAUAGUUCUUUAUGUAGCUUCUUGGAAGCUCUUAAGAGACUUGCCUGUGAGUGUAAGCUGUGCAAGGAUGAUCCUGGCUAGGAGUGCCCUACUCCCAUGACUGGCCCAUGGCUAUCUCAGUAGUAGGCUCUGCUGGAACCAAAUCUUCCUGUUUGGUAAUAAUAAUGCUUUUAACUGGAGAAUUAGAAGGCAAUAAAACAACCUUGCAACUCCCUUAGAAAAGCAUAAAGAACUUUUUUUUUUGCAUCUUUCCCGCAUACGUAUAAAAUGCUAAGCACAAUUCUUGCUCCAUUUCCUCUAGUGAGGGGGUCUGCACACCUUGGAAGGGGGACUAGAUGUGCCUGGCAAAGCUUUGCUGCUGUGUGCCUGUGGCCCCAUAGCUUGAUCAGGGGCAUGUGCAGCUCCUGGGGACAUCUGGCCCUGUGGCCCUUUGUCCCCCAUUUUGACCUCUAGCCCCCACAUUGACUGGUGCCACUCCUGUCACUCUUCCUUUUUAUUUAUGGCACAACCUAGCAAACAAGGCCUGAUUAGACAAGUUGUCAUUUUUUUUUCCCUAAUCUUGACUGUAUGCCUCAGGAGACUGAAUUUAACCUGCUGCUCACAAGCACACAUAUUCUCAUUUUACAUUCCGGAGCUGCGUUUCAGUUUGUUCCCCCUGUGUUUCAUCUGCAGAAGCUGUAGAAGCAGAAUAUUCUUCCUCUUCAGGAUGAGUUCACUUGUUUCUUAGUGAUAUGUAGGAGCUAAUCCCCCAAAGUCCCAUAUCAGGUCUAUGUACCAGCACACCGGUUCCUCAUGAGCAAUUUGAAACGAUACAGAACCGCACUUUGGUGCAUUCAGCUGGGGACAUUGCAAAAUGAAGAUGUAAUUUAGCAGCUCGUCCUGAAAUGAUGCAGUUCUUUUUGAAAAUAGGAAUAAAAGUUUUCCUGUCACUCAACAAAGCAUGAGCUGGUGAGUGCCCUGCUGAGGACAGGUUCUGAACCACAGCAGCUUGGUUGUUUCCAGGCCAAGUGAAGGUACAGCAGAAAGUCAGCCCCCACUGGACCUUGCAGGGGCUCCAAGCAAAAAUUUAUUUUUUUGCUUAUUUUCAAAUUUGUGAGCUGAACUAAGCUUGCAACAAAUUUUGUGUGGUCAGCGGUGCAAUUUCAGAACGAGUAACCAGGGAAAAAAAGGAGGUAGAAUGCUAAUGUGUGUGUUUUAGGGGGGAGGUAAGAAGUGCAGUGUUUGGAAGUAGCUGUUCGAUUUGCAGGUUUUCCGGAGUUAAAAUAUUCAUUGUUUCAGUCCAGGCAAGUCUGUAAUUUUGGGGUGCUAUUAUGAAUAUAAAUAGAGUACUACGGAGAUUCUCUAGCUCUCUACCCAUGAGACUUAAGCAUACUUUUUCCCUACUUAACCAUGAGAAGGUUUUCAUGCUGCAUGGCUUUUGGAGGUACUGAAGGUGCUCACAGUCUAGACUGACUAUCAUUUUCUCCCCAUCUGCAGCUGUCCAGUCAAGGACUAUUCUGUGUAACCAGUAGCACUUUAUAAUUAGACUCAUCAAUAAGAGCACGUAAUUCAUAUUAGGACAAAAAAAAUGUUUCAGAUAAUUUAGCAAGUGGCAUCUGGGUUAUUGCCAGCUGCAACUGGAUCUUCUGGGUCUCUCAGCUGGGGACCUUCUGUGCAAUUGAAACCAUCUUUGAAAUGGCUGACGCUCACCCAGAUUAACUCCAGUUAUCUUAACUUUCUGUUUUCUGCUUAUUUUAAUGCUGGUUGAUUCUCCUGGAUUUCCUCCUCUCCUUAUUAAUUAUACAUCGGAAAGAUAACAAAAUAUUACAAAGUACUGUCAUGUCUGUGGAAUCCAGCAUAUUGGAUUUUUUGCCUGGAGUGUCAAGCAAGAUUAAUUAUUCUGAUAAUAGCAGAAUUAUUGCAUUUAUCACAUACAGUAAAAAGAUACUGUUAACAUCCAGGCUGAGUUAUUCUUGGUCUUAAGAGGCACAAAUGGCAGACCUGGCAUUUAGAGGGCUUUUGUGCCUUUAAAAAGCCCAGUCCCCCUGUUACCUUCUCCUGCUCCUUGGGCCAAAUUCUUGCUGCAGGGCUGGCUGUUACCAUGGUGGCAGAAGGCAGUCCUGCAGAGAGUUGUGUAGGUAUGAAUGUUUGGCAGAGCACUAGCAUUUGAGGUAGACAGUAUAAUUACUCAGUCAUUCAACACUAAAAAAAAAAAAAAGUGAUUUUGUUUUUCUCUGAUUGCCUUAGUUCCUGCUUACCUAUGGCGAGAUUGUCAAGAUCUGUUGCACAGCUUCUGAAAGCUAAUUUGAGGUCAGCUUGUGAGUCAGAAUUGAUUCUUGAUUUUUGUCAACUGUGAGCUGGAGCUGAAGGGUUUGUUUUGGGAAGAAGGAGAGCAGCCGCAUUUGUGUGCUGGUCUCAGUGGCCGCUCUAGCAGUCAGCAUCUUCUGAGCUGGCCUCCAAGUUCCUGUGUUUCCUCUGAAUUGGUAAAAGGAGUUAAAAAGGAGCGGGAUCCUUUCAACUUCAACCCCAUCUUUUCCAAUGUUUUUCAAUUUCGGUGUUACUACAAAGGAAAAGGAAAAGCAAGUUAGGUCUCUGGAAUGCACCCUCAUUAAAAGGAGGCUGGUAACCAGCCUGCUGUGUGACCAUAGUCCGUCUCAGCUCAUGCAUUUGCAACUGAAACACCUCGACUUUCUGGAAGUCUCUAAAUGGAUGGCUUUCAGUCGGAGCAGUACACAGACAUUAUAAACCCUGCAAUUACUUUUACUGUAGGGCCAUAAAAUAUAGAUCUGUUAAAGUCUGGGGGCAGAACACGCAGGCGUCCUGCAGUUCCGACCAGGGCAGAUUAGAGUCUAUUACAGAUGAUGAAAACAAGGUACUAGAAAAUCCAUUAGAGCUAUUUGUUGCCACUUGCAAUGAUAGUCCCUGUAACCACAUUAAAUCAAAACAUCUCUGGGACUUCAUUACAAAUUUCUUUUAUCAAUACUGUAUGCUGAUAUAAAUAAUAGCAUAACAAAAUCAGGUAGAAGAAAUUAUAUUGCUCUGUAUGGUUUAGGGAUUUGUGAUCAAUUAUUUAGCAUUUAUAUCAGAGAAGCACUUAAUGUUUUCCAUUGGGGUGGGAUGUUGUACUGCUAGGAACCAUGUACAUAUUGAGCAAAUGAAAAUCGCUGGCCCAAAGUGCUUUGACCAUCUAAAUUGGGUUAAGGACAAAGUGUGUAAAAUGAGAGAGUAAAAAUGAUUAAAGUCCUCUCUAGAUACUGCUGCUCUGGGACUGAAACUACACUCAUAUCCAGUAAGAGAAUGGAAAGAAGCAUCUGCUUUUGAACUCUAGGAAACAGCAAAAAAGAGACUGACAGAAACCUGUGGUCACUGAGUGUAACACACCUUGCUCUUCAAAGCCCCCUCCUUUUCUCACAUGCUGUCUACCAACAUAAAUAAUGCUGGCUUGUGUCACUUCUGGCAAUAACAAGGUUGGCCAUCAGUGGUUCAUGAAGGGAAGCAAGAACAGUAUGUUUUCAUGGUAAGAAGUGGAACAAGAUUGUCAUUGUGCUUUACACAAGAGUCUGGAGGGAAAACUAGCCUUGUUCUUCCUGAUUCCAUCAGGAGGUUUGUAUCUGAGAUUGCAGGAUCUAUGAGUUCAAGACAUUAAAAAGAGAUAUGAAUCAGGCAUGCCAGAAAAGUUCAGUGAAAGUAAUAUGAACCCAAAACAAUGACUUUUUUUCCCCCCACAGCUCUGUUUGCAGUAUGCAAUUAUCAUGAGCUUGUUGGCAGUCCUGUAAUAAUUAGGCACAGCAGCGUGAGUGAAGAACGUAUCAAUCUUAGCUUACAGUUUCUUUGGUUUUUAUGGUUUAUGCUGACCUCAUUAUACUUAAAUAGUAGUAUGCAUCUUUGUGAAAAAUGUGCAAAAUGAAAAAAAAAAUCAAUAUAAGCUAUAGUGGAUCCCUCAAUUUCUAGUAUAAACAUACAAUUUGCAUUUUAGAAGCCAAAGAUUCAUACAACCAGAUUUUAACCCUAAAAACUAUGAUUUGCUAACAUAGAUGAGCAGAUAUAUCUGCAUUAGAGAUCAUUAGUUUCAAAAUAAUUUUAAACAAUAAAUCUGAAACCCAGACUUGUAAAAUGCUACAUUCGCAGUGACUGUCUUUGUGGGUACAGUUCACAUAAUGAGGACAGACUUGAAGUACCUAAAGGAUGUGAAAAUCCAGUUCUUACUCAAGGUACCUUUACAAAUCUCAGCUUGUUUAUUCAAUGCAUUCACCUCUCGCAUUUGUCCCUGUGACACAGAUGUGUCAGGGAAACACAUUUCUGUACUGAAGGACAAACUGCUGCAAUUAAGAGUUUUCCUGGAGUUUUCUGUUGAGAUUCAUGUGGGGGCAGAUGGAGCCACGCUUUGGUCUUCUGCAGACCUUGAGGGGCAGAGUUCUGUUUGUCUCCGUCUCUUCCCAAAUUCUGGGCAGCUGGAGUUGAUACCAUCCCAGCACCCCUGCCUAGGCAGAAGCAAAGUCUUCCUUAGCAAUACUAGUUCUUGAGCCAAAUCCGCAGUCUUCCUAUCAGCCAUGCAUCCUGGCUGGCCCCCAGACAACAAGCAGCGACUGAUCCUCUACUCUUCUUUGGGGCUGAAAGUCUGAAUUUGAAUUUUGAAAAAUCUUCAGAAUUUUUAAAAACAAGAGUGGAGGUGAUAUCCUAACCAAAGAGAGCCUUUGGGGCUGUUGCAAUUCCUACUUUGGCUCUGAAUCAGUCCAAUCCCAGAGACAGGCUGAAUGUAGUCUGUCCACAUUAUUGGCAUGUAUGUGGAACGUGAGGGACCCUACAACUGGGUAUUACAGCACUAUGUCAGUAUUGUCCCUUUUUAUUUCCACUCUACUGUGCGGUGGUACCAGAAAGGUGGAUUUAUUGAUUAUUUGCCAAAAGGCUAUGGAUUAAAUAAACAAACGACCUCCCUGCCUUCACCUGCCUGAGACUCUCCAAAUUGCUUAUCUGCAUGCCAUAUAACAAAGCCAAAAGGCAGGAAACCUUCCUGCCCUCACACUGUUGGCAUGAUACAGCCAAUGUCCCUAGUCUCUAGUAUCCCUAAGAAUGAAAAUUAUGAGGUUUAGCUGAGACUCCUGAAAACAACCUUGAGCAUGGCUUCUAAGCACCUCAAGAGUUUUUUAUAUGCAUACGGAUGUGUACAUAUGUAUGCAUAUAUAAAUAUAAAAAAAAAAAAAGUUAACAGACCCAUUCAACUUCCAUUCCUGACUAGUGGAGUAUUUCCAUUGGGUUUAAGGGAGAGUAGAAUCAAGCCUCAGUUCAGGAAAGUGCUUCAGUCUGAGGUUUGAAGAGGUUACUUGUCCCAGAAACUUCAAUUAGGCAUGUCAGCAAAUCCUUUGCUGACUAAGGACUUCCACAGCUCAGCUGUUGUAGAGGGCAGCAUCCAAGCUGGAUGCUAUAGGAUGUUGACCUCUCUCGAGAACUCCAUGCAGCAGCCAACCAUCUGCAAAACAUGCAGAGUAAUCAUAAUAAUUCCCUUGGCAGCCUAUUUCAGGGAGGAAAGGGAAAAGAAAGAGUAGAAAAAAGAAGGAAAUUCAUUUUAGGUUGCAUCGAAAUACUCUCACAAUAAUUGCCUUCACAUUUUUGAGUUUGGGGCUAUAUAUUAAAACAUUUCUACUCUCAACAUGGAAUGUUAUAACAAGGUUUUCAGAGUUAAUGAAUGGUAUGAGAGGAAAAAGAAAACCCAUCGUACUAGUUUUGUAUUCUUCCCCAUUGACAAAUGUAAAUCUUGACCCUUAGGAGGAAGCAUGUUUUAGGGAUAGUUAGCACUGUAUACAAGUUCCACUCACUUGACACAAUUAAUUUUCAUGUCUUCUUGUAGGGAUUGCCAACUUCUCUGACCUCAUGAGCAAUUUACUGAAAUCUUUGUAUGCCUAAGAGCCUGUUGUCCCAGAACCUAUAUGAAUCCACUAGGUACGAAAGGUGUACAAUAAUAGGAUCACGUCUUCCUUCAAGUUAUCUUUAAUAAAGCUUUUGUUUGUUUGAUUCUAUGGGAGAAAAGGACAUUUUUUUUCUUCUUUUCUUUCUGAAGCACUGAUAUAUAUGAUACACCGGGUUACCUCAUACUGACGCAUUGAUAUGCCUGAUACACUGGUAUUGCUACACCUGACACACUGAACUCAUUUGCUCCUCUGGGAGCACUGAUGGCAGUCACUCUUUUGCUGAAUGCUGCAUCUGGUUGGGGACUACUGGGUAAUGAGCAGCAUGAUCAGGCCACAACUAUUUUAUGUGGGAGGCCUAUUUACACAGGAGAGGUCAGAGGGUGGUGGUGGCCCCGUGCAGAAGUGAAAGUCUGGCAAGCUGAAUUUGAAGUAAGUGUAUGCUUUUUCCAGGUUGAGUUCUGAAAUACAUUGAGCAUACAAAUGGAGGAACAGAAAGUAAAAUGAGAGUAUUGUAUGUAUGAUGUGUACUAACCCUUUAAAUACUUUGUGAGCCCUCUAGUGGUGCUCGUUGAGCCCUGGAAACCUCCAGGAGCUGGCUGGAGCCACGUAGUCCUUUAGCCCAUCUUGUUAACAAGAACACUGUUCUUUGGGGUUCAGUGUGCACAUCUUCUUAUUUCAAGUUCUUACUAAAAUCACAGAGAUAAGAGCUUUAUUUCUACCUCCCUGUGAUAAAAUGUUCUUCAGAAUGUAAGGAGGAACUCACUGAAGCCACUCGUCCCAUUUAGUCUUCCUUAUAGCUGGUUAGCAAGAGGUCCCUGCUCCUCAGCAGGUGCUGGAGAGAUCCCACCAUGCUCCCAUGGCAUAGUUCAAAACUGCAGGUGUCCACACUGGUCUUCUGUAGAGAUGACAAUAUAACUACUCUCUGUGCUGCUGUCCCCACGGGGUGGAAAUUAUGCCUGGCUGCCCACAUGCAGAGCUGCUGCUGUCUGGCUCCUGAGGCUGUACCAGGACUCUGCUCUCAUCAAGGCACACAGCUGCCAUGUCCCAGGUGGCUGUGGCCAAUGAAGGCAACGUCCUGCCUACCAUGGCAGAUAUAGGUCUGUUUUUUGGCAUGUCACACUGGCUGGGGUUCACUAAAGCAGUGUGGUAAGGAUACAGCACUGCAAGCUAGAAUUCAUAUGGAGAUGAAUAAUGUGUCUGGAAAAAUGUGUCUUAAGCCUCUUUUUUAUUAUUAUUUAUUUAUUUAUUUGUUUUUCCUGAAAGAGCUCAGCUAUGGUAUUUCUAUAGAGGGAAAAGCAUCAUUCUGCUUUUAUUCUAAACACAAUUCAGAAUGCUCCUUUAUUUUUAUUUUUUUUUAAAUUGACUCAUAAAGUCUCCAGGAGGGCACCAAUUAGUGAAAUAAACCUAUAAUCCUCAGUGCAGUGCCUGCUAUAGGACUGCUGUUUAACAGCCUUCUUGCUAAUCAAUUCUCUUCAGUCACCCAAAUGCCAUAGCUGCUAUGUAAAUAAAUGCAAGUUUAAGAGUGCUCUUCAUUGAGUGGUUAAAACUAUGCUCCUUCUAUGCAACCAUAAAAUCAGCAUGUAUGUUAACAGAUAUUUAAUCUGCCUUGUACAAAUGACUUUUCUUAUUUGAUUGUGGAGCUUGAGAAAAACAGAAACAGGAAAAAGCAAUAAACUGUUCUUCUUGUGCAACAUUUAAAAAAUCUGAUACUUCUUUGGAAGCCCAGACGUAGAACAGAGAUACAUAUUUUAGUGUCACAGGAACAUCUACAAUUUUGGUUGUUGUUUAACUUCCAUUGUAAAUUUUAAGCCAGACUUCCAUCAUUCAACUUUCUGAAUAAAAGAUCUGCUUCUCAUAAUCUUUUUCAUGUGUGACAUCCAUCCAGAGGAGUUGUUUUUUUUUUUCCUUUACAAGUUGAUGUUGUGGUGAAAUACACGGUAAGUGUAGCUUGAAAUGAGGUGGUGUGCAGAAUCCUAUCAAAGGCAAAUGGAACCCAGAUCCAUUGAGGAUGAUGGGGGAAAAAAAUCUUUAAUGAAACUAGAAUUUCACCUUUAGUGUUUGAUGUGUGAGUGAAAAAUACCGUUUUACUAAUAAUGUUUUUGUCCUAAGCAGGAUCACAGGAAACUGGACAGGAGAGUCUAUGUAUCACGUCUCUUCUGGUUUGUCUUCAGGCAAGAGCAGUGAUGCUCAAAAAGGGAUGAUCAAACACUUAACAGUUUCAAUACUAUAUCCAGGUAUCCUUUAACACAAAGAUCAGUGUAUUGUCUCCAGAAGAAAAUGAAGGCAGAAAGAGAUGAGAUGACUUGCCCUAAACUAUCCAUCUGAACUUGAAUUAAAGCACAGGUCUUGUGUGUUUGUGGAAAUGAGCUGAGAUUUAAAACAAAGUAAAUAAGAUGAUGCUGCAUCCUGCAAGUUUCACCGAGUUUCUCACUUAACAUUAUCUUUCUGUUUUCAUACUGAUGUUGGGUAAUAAAUGAAGAAUAAGUCAAGGAAUCAUACAAUCAUAGUAUGGCUUGGGUUGGAAAGGACCUUAAAGAUCAUCUAACUCCAACCAAAUGAAACAGUUUGUUUGAGUGCCUACGAUUUAAGAGUUUUUUGAAUCUCUGAAGUUCCAUUAUCAUGCCUAUGUAAGGAAAUUUAUCCUUCCCUCUUAAUUUUUUUAUUUCAGUGUGAGUUUUGUUUUUCAUUUCUUAUGAUGUUUGCAAUGCAUAUCUUGGGGAACUUCAAACACUCAUUCUUUCUACAGAUAAACAAUCUUAAUUAUAUAAAUUCCUUUUCAAUUAUGAAAACAUAUUAAUGUAGCAAUGCCUUGUACAUUAAUGAUAACUAAAUUGCACAUAUAAUAUUUAUUAAUAUUUUAUAAUGUAGGACAUGAGCUUGUCACUGGUUAAAAUCAUGAGUCAACUGAGGUAAACUAAACUGACAAGCUAUAGGCAUCAUCAUUGACACCCAAGAUUUUCAUAAAGAUGAAACAAACAUGCCACACUUUUCACUCCCCUGAUGUUAUCAAUUUACAACCAACUGCUGAUUUGCUUCUAAGCACACAUACACAUGAACUUUUCAGCAUUUUAUGAAAUAUAAGGAAUUGAACCUGUUUCCAUAGUGAAAUCUGUAGUUUAAUUAAUAGCCAAGUGAUUACAGGAUAUAUUUAUAACCCAGCAAGAUUGUUUAAAGAAGAAUCUUUCUGAAUUCAGUAACAUGAAAAGGUGUUAAGCUGACCCUGGAAAUACAUCCCACUGCAAACGAGUGCACAUGAGGCUGGUUAUGUGAAAAAUUAGAACUGAACAGGACUUAGUGAGGCCUGGUAAAAUUCCAUGAUAUUAGAACAGAAUAACUGCUCUGAAGAAUAUUUUAAAUUUAAAUUUUAAAAUUAAAUGUAAUUUUUUAAAGUUUAUUUCAAUUUUAUAUUUAGUAUGAGAUGGUCAGAAAUUUUAAGUGGAAUUAAAACAGGGAAAGUGGAAGGCAAACAUCAGGACUGUGUGAUUUAAAAAAAAAAAAAGCUUGGAACAUAUUGUUUAUUCUUUACUUUUAAAUGUAAACAACAAAAAUUAGCAUUUUUAUACAAAUUAUUUAUGUAAAGUUCAAUGGUAACAAUGGCACAGAACAGACAACUGAAGGCCAUUAUUGCUCCCUCUUCAUUUCUGCUGUCCUACCUGUGUGAAGGGAAGUACGUAGUUUUAUGGGGUUGUAGGUUUUUGCUUGUGGUCCACUGACUCCUGAGUUCAGAGAUUACUUCUGCAGGGGCUUCCAGGAGGUGACUUGACAAGGACUAGCCCUGGUGAGCUAAAAUAAGCCUCUAUGAAUGUUGCCCCCCUUUAUGCCCUGCUCCUUCCAAACCAGAGAGCUCACAGGCACAGGGAGGGUGCCUUCACAUUAAAAGCAGCUCUGUCAAUCUGGCACCUGACUUAUACUGUAAAAAAAAGGCCCUGUUCCCUCUUCCUCUCCUCUCUCCCCAGCAGCAGGUAUUCCUUCUGCCUCCUCAUAUUGGCAUUGACAAUCAUGUGGCCUUAGGGUUGACUCAGCUGACAGAUUGACAUAUCUAGCAGCAAACUGCUCUUUUAUUUGCAUAUUUAUAUAUGAGCAGUGAGCAGUGUUAGGUUUCUACUGGAACAAUUCUCCAUAUUGAUUUGCUCCAGGGCUGUCUGAUUGAUAGAGCCAUCCCAUGGGGAAUGGGGCGAGAGCAUGUGGCUGGGGGAGGAGAGAGGAUGAGGAGCAGGAUGUCCUCCUUCUGCCUUGGCAGGACUCAAUGGGAUGCAAAACUCUAAAGAGAAGAUGAAGCUCAGUGGCAAGUAAAGCCAACCAGAGCUGGUAUUGCUGGUGUCCUGCCUGUUCCCUGUCUCCCAUCCUGUACUCCUGUCCUGUCCUUGCACCAUCUCCAGGACUCAGCUGAGCAGGCAGUGAGAUGACUGCAGGAGAAGACUUUGCAGAAAGCUCAACAUUUCUUUGCAGUGCUCAUUGUCAGCUGCAUUGGCUGAAAUGCAUUUCUCUGGCUUGCUGCAUAUGCAGGCAAGAGCCCAUCCAUCCUUGUGGAAGGGAGCAGACAGGGCAGGGCAGGAACACAGGUCCACAGCAGAUGGGACACAGAUGAGCUUGAGGACUUUUGGAAGUGCCCCUGAGAUAUCCAGAGGAAAUCAUGAGCUCUAGCUUUGAGAUCACGUCCUAGAGAGCACCUCCCACCCCCAAGUGUUCAGGGUAUCUCUAUUCCCACUCUCUGUUCCCACUUACUUCAGUCCACAUCAUUCUACUCUUAAGAAACAGAAGCCUCCUUAUGGCAAGAAUUGUGGAUCGAUUUUAAAGCACAUGAAGCCAGCUGAAGACAAAAUGCAUGUGACAGCUAUCACAAAACUGCAGCUUUAACAGUCUUAACUGAUGGCAGCCUAGAUGUCAGAACAGUGUCAAAAAAAGUCAGAUGCACUGCUGUGGCAAGCGUCAAAACCAGACAUGAUGAGAAGUACCCUUUCUGUACGUACACGCAUGCAUCCCAGAAGCCAGAACUGUCUUUCUGCACUUGGCCUGUAAAAACUUACUUCUUAUGCUACACAUGCCAGUUCAGUUUUGUUUUCUUCUACAUGAUGAACAAAUGUGAGCAUUUGGGUUUAGUAAGACACAGCUGUGAGAUACCUCUGACAGGGGCUGCGCACAAAUACUCUCCAAACUAAGACAAUCCAGCCUUCUGUAACCUGGAUGUCGUAUAGGCUUUCAGAAGAUGUAUGGAGCUUGUGAAAUAGAACAGCAAGUUUAAUUAAAAAAGCAAAAAUCAACUAUGAAAGCAGCUAUGAGAGUAACUAGAAGUUUAAAACAGACAGUAACUAUGCCUUCUUGAGAUACAAAGAAUUAUCUGUUACAGGUUUGAUUUAUCACUGGAUUAUGCCAGCUUUAUGCUAGUAUAGAAACAGGAUGAUAGAGCCAUGCUGAAUAUCACUAGGUAUGCAUCCCUUCAGUUCUUCAUACACUCUCAUAGGCAUAAAAACAGCUAAUAGUUGUGCAAAUCAAAGAAAAACCUAUAAAAAUGAAAUGGUAGAGACGUCAGAUGCAGGGAAAGAUAAUACUCCUUGAUCAGUGCAGAUUUACUGCAGUGAUCCAUCCUGAGGGGCAAGAGAAAUUUAUUGAAGAGCUAAUUUUCAGUAAGAUAAAGACCUCUUGCAAAGCAGCAUUAAAAAGUCUUUGGUAGGUAAUUAAAACAGAUGGAUAGUUUCGUAAAUACUCUAAAUAUACACCUUAUAUGUUGGACUAUCUUAUGCUAUUUAAUGCUUACAGCUCUUCAAACCUUAUUCUGUUCUUCUUGAUCUUGUUGUACAGUACUUUAUUAGCUUUGGAGACCCUUUGAUUCAUAGUAACUUACUUACAGGAUAAUAUUCUAUUCAGCAGAAACAAGCAUGUGACCUUCUCUGUAAUAGCAACAUAUUCUAAGUGGAUAUUAUGCCACGCGUUGCAAAAUUUGUAUUCUUCACAUGGAAUAUGCCUCAUGUCAUGAGAAUUCAUACUUCUUUAAAAUUACAUGAGGUUUUAUCAAGUGCAAAAGGCAUUAUGAAUUACACUUAAAAACACUCCGAAGUUCUGGAAAUGCCAAUGAACCUGAUUUCCAAGUGUCUUUAUUUGAACAAAAUCUUCAAUAUGCUGAGUGCUUGAUAGGCUGGAACAAUGCAGGAAAAGAAUUUGUAAAAAGGGGUCCAGCAUGGCUGGGAUUAGCUUACUGUGAGAAAAGUAUACCUUCUAUGGUAGCAGGAUGUGUUAAUAAUGCAGUUACAAAUGGCUUAGUUUAAUUUUAUCUAUGAUCUGUUACAUUUAUCUAUGUAAAAUAUUGCAAAUGUAUUCCUUACGUGAUUGUUUCAAAGAAAUAUUUGGCUUACAUGCAGUCAGUAACAAUCAGUGGCAAUGUUACUUUUACAGUAAAUGUACGUGAAGUUUAUGGGCAACAGCACAGUGGGACAUAAAGAUAUCAUUUGGCAUUUCCAAGUUUUAUGAGUCUUCCACAGAAGAAACUUCUGAGAAGCCUAUUUACCCAUGUAGAUAUCUGUACACAGUCAUUUACUGUAAGUGAAAGCAGAUUUGUGUCAUCUGUUACGUUUACUUUGAUUGACUAUAGAUUGCUUGCCCUUUGAUUGCUGCUAAUGUUCUGUGGAGCCAUUUGUUUUCUUGCUGAGUUAAUGAUAUUAAAGGAAAAGGUAUUACUUUCUUCUUAGGAUGAAUUAAUUUUAUAAGUCUUUACUUAAAAGGGAAAACAAAAACGCUGACCAUAUUGCCUAUUCUCUCACCUGGCCACUUUAGGAGCAUGCAUGAACACAGGCUCCUGGGACAAGGAGCUUAUUACAGAUUAAGGAAGAACAUCUUUGUGAGAACCCCCUUGCUAAAUUAUUGGCAACAAAUCACGUGUCCUGUAGGACAGACAGCACUUGCAUUUUUCUUGGCAAAAACUGGAGGGAACCUGGUCUAAAUUCAUCUCCUACCUCUCCUGAAAAGUUUUAAUAAAGGCCUAAUUGUGAAGGGGUCUCCAAGUAAUGAGUUGUGGCUGGUGGGAGUAUCCCAGUCUGGGGAAAAUAACUCUUCUGUUGCAUAUUUCAGAGUCUUUGCAAUUAAGAACACAUCCUUGAAUAAUUUUUAAAAAGAAGCAUAAAUAAGUACAUGAAGAUGUGAUCACCCAGUGAUUGCUUCUUGUAAUGGCUCCCUGCCCUCUUUAUACCUUGUUAUCCCCCGUGGCCCAGGCUCUGACUUCCUUCCUUUUGAAAGCGUGUCAGGCUCGGGAACCCUGCAGGGACCUGAGUGCUGAGUGCUGGCGGCUGUCUUGUAGACGUGGGGCUGGACAUCCCAUCCCAAGCACUACAGGGCUGUAGCUUCCUGGAGGCUGUGAGACCUACAAAGCAGUAAAUGGGAGAAGCCUCCAAUCACACCUUCUCAGGAAGAAGCGAGAAAAUGAAGGAUCGGUGUUUCGUUGUCGGCAUUAACCAAGGAGAGAGGCCAUACCUGCUGCGGGCAAGAACCUCAUCAUCCUACAGUGGUGCUCUGGUGGUGAUCUUCCUUCUCUUUCCAGGGAGGACCUUGUCGGCAAUAUUAUUUUCUCCAUCUGACAGAUGGAAGCAGCUUUUCUAUUCAUGUUUCCCAUUGGAGCUUUUCAAUAGAAGCUGCACAGGAGAGUCUGAAGAGUCCACCACUGUCACACCACAGACGCAGAGAAAGUAAUGUGGGCUUGAAGAGCUUUUCAGGAGACUCUUGAGCCUGAACUUCAUUGCCUCGGUACCUGUUGUGAAUGAAAAUGAAGAGCUGAUAAGUCUUAAUGAGACGGCUAUUGCAGCAAAGGGAAUUUAAAUCCUAAGCAUGUUUUGCCUCAGUAAUAUGCAAAAUUUUCCAUUUGGUCACUGGUCUUUUUGUUUCAGAACUGUUGUAGAAAUGUAAAUUAGGACUAGCAACAAACAGGCUUCUGUUCCUAAGUAGUUGCUGAAGUUAUGGCCAUCAGAUGUGAGUUUUAAUUAUCAUUGGGAGAAUUGAAUAACAACAUUUUUUCUUUUGUUUCAGACUGUAAUUAUCUCAUUUUACACCUUUACGGUCACUGCUUGUUUUUAUGGGCAGACUUUGUGCAAUCCCUCAUAGUGUGUUAAAAAAGAAACAGAAAUUAUGAGCACCAUAAUUAGAACUGAAACUAGGAAAAUAUCUUCCUAAUAAGUGCAGAUAUGAUGAGUAAUUAUAAUUUAUGUUGGAUUUCCUAUGUCUCUGUGAGUUUAACAAACAAACAAACAAACAAACAAAAACAGGUCAACAACCCCAUCCUUUCUUUCACUGAAACUCUCCCCUCCCCUCCUGGCUUCUGUGAACUGUGGCAACUCUAAGGGUGACUUAAGGGUGACUUAAGGGCAACUCUGGGCUGACUUCCACAGAAGAGAGAGGAAAGCAAGGUCUGGGCACUUUGUCUUUCUGCCUUCCACUUUCUCCUGUCCCAUAGAAGUGAUGCUUCCUAUUGCUGCCCGCAGACCCCUGGUUCAAGGGGAAAAGGAACCCUGUGUUCCUGCUCAGCAGCUUGCAAGGAUGCAAUAACUGAGCUGGUGAAUCAGAGGACCUAGUAAAUGGGAACCCAUAAUGCUAAGUAUGUUGUGGAGCUACAGGAAGCCAACACAGAGAUGUUUGUCCCCAGAUCCUCUUUCCAAGCAUGUCCAUCCACUCUUCCUGGCUGGUCUUGUAACCUACCUGUUUUCAAGAUACUACAGAAGUGCUUUAAGCAAUUAUUAUUAAUAAUAAUAAUAAAGAGACAGUUCUUUCAAAAUUAAGUGUUUAUGUUUGGGAGAGGGUGUGCAAGCUUUUUUAAAAAAAAAAAUAAAUAAUUGUAACUCAAGAGUUGUUUUACAUUUUCCAUCACUUGUCAUGUAAUUUGAGGUCUAGUGUUGCACUCAAGCAAAGGUUAAAGCUUAGAGGUUUGGGACCAUCUGGUGGACCAUCCACAUGUUAUCAUUCUGUCCUUUCAGUGAUGACUCAGACAUCAAAGAUUUUGUGCUUUUAUGAUUUUUCUUUCUAUUUGGCUUACAUUGAUAUUAACGUACACAUAAAAGUUAAGAAGUCAAUAGAUAUAAUAUGUAUCAUUAGUAUCUGUGUUGAAUGAUUUGUGAGAUGAGUGCUUUUUCUCUGUCUUUCUCUCCUCCCCUGCAUUUCCAUGGAAUAAGAAACUGGUAAUAUGCCUGAAAACCUCUUUCAAAAUGUUGCUUCACAAUCAGUAACUAGAAAGAUCAGAAUAUUUCCUGAAAGUAUGUGGUUUGCAUAAGGUCACACUAAAGAUCAAAUGGAAAAAUUGCACUGUGUACGAGUAUAAAUAUAUGGUUCUUUUGCCCACUAAGUCUGCUUUUUUGUCAUUUUGAAUAUUUCCUGGCAAAAAUCCUAAUUAUUAUACCUUUCUGUACUUUAAUAUGCACACAUCUGUAUUUAUAUACUUACCCAUAUAUGUAGUAUGUGCAAAAUACUUGCAUUUUCAGAUGUGAUGGCAGCAGUUUAGUUACUUCAGAAAAUUAACAGUAAUAAAAAGUUGCAUUUUUUUGGAAAAACAACAAAUAGUGAAUAAAGAUUAGAUUUUGAAAAACUAUAUAGAAAAUACGCUGCUACAGUAAGCACUAGCUAUUGUUCAUCACAGCACUGUUGGGUAGUUGCCUACAGAUGUGGAAGUGUGGCAGUUGUCCUUGAACACUACCAAGGCUUGCAUGCUCCUACUUUUUCUCCAGAUUGUUAAUAGUGAACAAAUGUUAACAAUUGAACAAGAAGGUAAAUAAAAUAAAUGGAAUAUCAGAAUACCAGUCUUAAUAAUGCUUUGGAAGCUGUAGACCUACAAUGUGUUGUCUGUUUUAUAGUGUAUCUGAAGUUCAUCUGAAAGUUGGAAGGGUCUGCAGGAAGUCAUCUACUAUACCUAAGAGAUAACAAUGUAAAUCAAUUUUUGUGGCAAUUAAGGUAUGUGUGGUGAAAACAGAGAUGCAUGUUUAGAUUAGUCAGUUAUGCUAGGUAUUAUAGGCGCUGAAACUUUAAGAAUUGAUUGCCAAAUUUGUUUUUAUUCACAUUCUGGGCAAAUGUUUGGGAAUGUGAGAAGAGUCAUUAGCAGCACUUCUUUCAGCACAUACCAGUGUAAUGAUUAGCAAAACAUCUGAAAACAUGCUAUGCAGUCUUUUAUAGAACUGGCUGCUCAUUUGAGCCAAUAAUUUUGUCUUGCAUUUUGUCAUAUUUUGUCUUUCCUCUGUUAAAACUAUUCUAGUCUCCUAAAACAGCAUUUUUCCACUUUUAUUUUUUUUUUUUUUUGGUCCUAACCCUUCACACUGGAGAUUAAAAUGAAAUAUAUGAUGGAACCAUCAGCUCUCUGAAUCAGCAGGAAUAUUCACACAGAGUUAAUUGCACAUCAAAGAAGCAUUUUGAAUGGUUAUUGUAACCCCACAGCACUCUGGUGAUUACAAAAAAAUGCAUUGACAGAAAUCACCGUUAUUCACAGUAUUAUCUUUUCUGUUUUGCUUAUGGCAAGGCAUAGGAUUAUAAUUUAUCAUAGUUCACUUCUGAAGUCUGAUGUUGUCAUGUAAAGACAAGCAGAGCAGGUGUUGUUAUGAUGAUUAUUAUUAACACUGUUAUUGAUAUUGUUUAUAUAUUAAAGCCUGUUUCAGAGAGUACCUACAUGCAUGCUUUAGUCCCAUGGAGCUAAGAGAAUCUCUGAGUUCUCCAUGCUUGUUUAAAUGUUAUUCUAAACAGGGAUGAACCUGAACAUAUGUUUAAGUGCUUCACUGAACUGGAGCCUACUAGAGAUAGGAAAAGUCUCAUUUUCUUCAUGGGACAAACCUUUGUUCAUUCCAGCUAGACCAUGCAGGCAUAAAUCAUGCUGAGCAACCAAAGAAGUAUCUCCCUGCAUAAAUUCCUGGAUUGCUUAAACUUAACACCUAAUUACAGAGCUGGUGAACCUAGAUACACUGAAGGCGGUUUGAAAGGCUGCCUGAAACAUCAUGGGCUGAGAUGCCUUUGUCGGGAGCAUUGUGCUGUGAUGUGUAACGUGGGCAGAUUCCUGUGGGAUGUUGACAGUUUGUGGGAAAUGAAUGUAGGAGGAACUGGGUUACAAAGACCAGGCUUUUUUCUUUAAUAUUUUUUCUCUGUCAUUGUACUGUUUGUGGGCUUGGGGAUUUUUUGCUUGUAUUGUGUUUUUUUUUUUUUUUUUUUUUUUUUUUUUGUGUGUGUUUUUUUUGUUUGUUUGUUUGUUUUUUUGUCUCUUUAGGGUAAGGGGAAGGAGGACCUUCUGGUUUGGAAAAAUGUACCCAAUAAAUGCUGCAUGUCAUGAGUCACUUGUUCCUGAAGAUUUGAUACUACAUGGUUCCUUCCUUCCCCAGAAGAUGCUGGUUGAUGCUCCUGAAAGCUAUCGUGUUCAUUUUUUGCUCAUGGCAUUUAUAUGGAGUGAUAAUCACUUGAUAAGCCAUGGAUUUAUGUAAUAAAUUAAUUAGCUCUGCAGUGUUUCUUCAACUCUCUGCCUGCCAGUCUGUCUCCACUGGGACUUGUUCAGUUUUUCCAAACAGCUUUUAUAGGCCUCCAGUCUAACAAAAUGCAUCAUCAGUUGUUCCGUAUUAAGCUACUGUCAGAGGGAUUUUUCCCACACUCAAAUGCACAUGCAUACUCAGUGAAGGAUCUCCGUGUACAUACUUGACUGAAGAAAUACUGCUGUUUUGCAGGAUGUUGAGGCUCAGUUCCUGUGUGACCCAGCACGCAACAAGAAAGGAUUUGGUUUGUAAUUGACAUUUUUGACCUAUGUGAACACAGAUAUUCCUCUUUCCUUUCUCCUGCCCCUCAAAGGUGUUUGAGAAAUAAACUUUGAAGUCCUGGGAGAAGUAACAUGUGCCUGUGAAGGGAGCAGGUGGGGGUGGCGGAGGUGGUGGAAGGAGUUCAGUUUGUCAACACAGGAGCCAGGAAGCCGGUUAUUUAUAACGUUUGUGGUGGAGAGGGGGCCAGCCCACGUGCUUUUAAAACUCAUUUUAACUGCUUGCACGGUACAGUUAACUCUGCUGUUUGUAAACAAGUGUCACUUGCAGUCUUGGUUGAUGGGGAGCGUGACAGGAGGCUGGUGGCUCGGUGAGUCCCUGCCUGGGCCUGGCACUGCCCCAUGCCAGGGCCCAGUGUCAGCUGUGCUCCUGGGCAGGACUUUGCUGUCCCCUGGGGCAGCGCAGGCAGAGCCACACAGGACCUGUCCCUUCCUCAGAAUUCAGAAAUCCCUGAUUGAAAAUGUGGCUCUGACAGCACACAGCUGAAAUUCUGAACUCAUUCUUAAACCACAGAAUAACUAAUUUUUAGCUGGGUUUCAUGACUCUUAACAAGGAGGAAGUUAAUUGUGAGAGGCAUAUGACCAUGAGACUAUACUUGGCUGGACUGACUUCAAAAGAAGUAAAUUUUGGGCACAAAAAGAUUUGUAAAAUCACUAUUUCAGCAGCAGUCACAUUUAGAUUUUAUUUUUUCUUCUGUGUGGAGCUUAUAGUGAGCUAUUCUUGCUGCCUGAACAGCACUCAAAGUCCCAUGAUGCAUGCAUGACACGGACUUGACACUGCUGCUAUAUUCUUCAGUUCAACAGCUGUGUGAAGACUGUAUCAUCCUGAGCUAAGAAACUCAAAAAAUAGCUUUAUCUCAAGAGAGGGAGCCUAUGCUUUAAUGUUUUGCCAUGCAAACUCAAAUUGUGUACUUAUAUGUAUAUACACAUAUGUGCAUACACAUGAACAGAUGCAUAUAAACACACUCGUGUUACAUUGUUCAGUACAGUUUUGUUUUAAUUACAUUUUCUUAUAGUCAAACAACAAAACAACAGCAAUAACAAAAACCCACACAUACAUACAUACGCAAAGAAGUCCUUCUCCAUUUUUUUUUUUUUAAUUAUUUUUACUUAAGGAGUGGGAAAAGAUCUAAGCAGUUUAGACAACAGCACAUCAUUUGGAAGUCUGGCUCAACAGAUGUGAAGCACAUCAGCACAGAAGCUUCCCAGGCAGCAUGAAGGAGAAUUUCUGGGUGAUACUUGGGCCCUGUCAGGGUUGGCAGGCUUUUUUCUACCAGCUACAGUGGAGACAGAAUUUUUUCUCUUUCUGCAGAGCAGAAGCUAGGAACUAGAAUAAAUACCCAAGUACAGAACUGCAGGAAUGUUCUGGUUUUAGUAUUAGGGACCUGCUCUUGGCUCAGAAGAUGGCAGAAUGGACCAGAAAAUAAAUAAUGGAACAAAAAUCAGUGGUUAUUUGAUUGAUUUCCUGGUGCUUCAGAGAAGAUAGGAAAUUAUGAUCAGCAGUAGCUCAUACUUAACUUGAUGGCAAGACUUACCUGAGCUUUCCCACACAUAAUAUUGAGAGAAUGCAUUUGAAAACUUUUGCUCUCAUUAAAACAAAACAACAAAACUAAACAAAACAGAGAACAUCCAUGAGAAAAUUCAGAAAGGUAAAUUUUGAAAGAAAAAAAGUUUAAAAGCAACAAUCAUUUAGAAAAGAACUAUUAGAGGUCAAACACCUACGUACCCUAAAAUUCAGGACACCAUGAGCUCUUAUAAUACUACACGCAGUGAUGAAAAUUGCUGCAUCCUCAGCAACAUCAUAAACUGUACUAGGUUACAAUUAUCAGAAUUAUAACUCUGGUAUGGUGCUUAAUGGAACUUAAAAGUUACAAUUUGUAUCCAAUCUGUGAAGUCUUAAAAAUAUGGAAAGAUUAAAUGGAUUUCCCAUUUGUUUAACAUGUGCAUGAAAAAUAUAUGUUCUAGCAAGCAACUUUGUUGCACUGCUCUAGUCAAGUAGACAGAACAGAAACCUAUUUAGGGCUGCAUAGAAUGAGAAAUAUUUCUCAUUUGUAAUAAUAAUGUAAUACUGUACAAACUUCCAGUACAAUCUUUAGUUUAGAUUUUUAGUCAAAUAUUUAUAUUCACAGAUAGAGACAAUGUAUAAGCAAAAACUGUCCUGGCCAUACAAAAUAUAAAGAUGGCAUCUAGUAAAUUGCAUAGGUAUAGAACCAUAGAGUCAUAGAAUCAUAGAGUAUCCUGAGCUGGAAGGGACCCACAAGGAUCCAACUCCUGGCUCCACACAGGACCACCCAGAAAUCAGACCAUAUGUCCGAGAGCGUUGUCCAAAUGCUUCUUGAAUUCCGGCAGGCUUGGUAUCAGAGCCCAACCUUUCUCAUGGGGUGGUUCGUUUUUGGAAUGUAGUGCAGCUCUUCCAAGUAGAUUACAAACAAUGUUUUCUCUGGGAAGCACAGGAGGCUUCUCUACCUUAAUAUUUUCCCACAUUUAUAUCAGGCUAAUCUCUCUGCUAUGCUCUUGUGUUACCUAAAAUAACUGACAGCAAACAAUACCUUUUGGGUCUCCCACCUAUGGAUUCUUGCUGAUAUUUUUACCCAGAAUAAAAUCAGGCAAUCAAAUCCCAGUACUUCCCUCUUGUUCAGUUGUAAUAGUACAAUUUUACACUCUUUAUGUUUGAUUGCAAUUUCUUGGGAUUUUACCUAUGUUUUGAACUAUGAUCGACAAGUGAUAAAUUGAUAUCAUCUGCAGAUACUCUCAGUCUAACGUAUCACAAUAGCUAUGGCUAAUUGUCCAAACUGAUUGCAAACAAAUGUAUAGGAGUUAUUUUCUGCAAAUUUAUUUUUAAAUUUUACAUAAUUACCAUGGACUAAAAUAUUGGUUAACUGACAAACAAAUUAAUUAAGACAAAUGUCUCAAAACCAUGAUCUCUCUUCUAGGAUAGGAAAUGCUAUAGGAAGGCUGGUAGUGGCUAAAACUUCAUUACAUUUGCAGAACUUAUUGGUACUGCAAGUUUGUAAUAUUUUUUAGUCAAUCCAUUUCAAGCUAGUGUGUCCUUUCCAUAAUGACUAUGUAUCCAAAACAGAAAUCUGUGCUUCCUGAAUUUCAGAAAUAUUUGGUUUCAAAAUUCUGGUUCUAUGUGCAUUUUAUGGACUUUGAAUAGAAUUGGAUCAAAAAUUCCAGAUAGAAAAGUUUCAGUAUGAGUGAUUCAUGUAUGAAAUUGCAUACUAACAUUGAUCAGACUAUGUUGCAAGUGUUGUGAAACUGGAAUAUUUGUUUUGAAAUGGCACAGAUACUGAAGCUGGAAAGCCUCAGCCACUUUUUUUUGGUUAACAAAUUGUUUCUAUCACUAAAUAACUAAUUUUUAUAUAAUUUUUUUUUCUGUGCAAAAUGUGUUCAUGACUUAUUAAUGGAAAAUUAUGAUUAGCCUCAAAUUCAUAUUUUCUGAUUUAUAUAUUUGUAGGGCCAGAGGUGACAUUUAAUCAGAGAAGGAAGCAAUCAGAGUUUUUCAUUCUCAGCCUACCAACCCAUGGUGCUACCCAAGUGCCCCGCAGAAGUCUCUCAUGCACUAGUCAGCAACAAAUGAGCUCAUUAGAUAGUUCUUCCUGCUAAAAUAACCAGCUGAUAACAUCAUAUUUUAAAAAGAACAAACAAUUCAACAAUAAUUUCUACAGCUAUGAGAGUGUCCGCUAUGUCAAGAGACUGUAUCUACGAUACACAAUGGAAGUGAAUUUAGGGAGAAUUUAAACAAAAAGGAAACUAUGUUGUGAAGAGGGACAAUAAAUGAGAUCAAAUGGAGCUGGGUCCAUGAAGGCUGUCUCUCUGUAAAUAUGAAAAGAGGUUGUGAAUGAAACUGAAUUUCUCCAGGGCAGUUGGCUCCCCAUGAGCAAGCACUGUGGGCUAACUGCUUUCAGACUGGGAUUUUGCCAAAGUGCAGCACAGUGUGAAGAAGUUUAAGGCAGAAUAAGCAAGUUAGGAGGCCAAACAGACUAAGAGAGUACUAGACAUCUAGAAAGAGCAUACUUUUUUUUUUUUUUUCUUUUUAAUUUAUUAGAUGCUAGAAGACAGAUUCUUUGUUCAAAAUACACUGUGAAAGCAGACUUCAGCCAUGCAGUGCUGGCAUCUUCAGAAAGUCCUUGCCUAGAUGUUAGUUGAUUUUUAGUAUCAUACAAGUUGGGCACACAAUGAGAAGUUGCAGAACACAGGCUAAAAUACAUAAUUCAAAAGUCUUUAUAAGGGUAUAUUAGGGCAACCUAUACAGCACCCUGGUAUUGCAUGACCCAGCCUCACAAAAGACGCAUGCAAACAAAACUUGCAUGCAAAGUCCUUAGAAGGCAAACAGCACGUUAAACCACAUCAAGGCCUAUGUGAGCUACUUCUAAAAUUUUAAGCAGCCUGCUGAAAGAGCAGUGGCAAUCGUAAGAGAGACAGAAAGAGAAGAUGUAAUUGGCUAAAAAUAAUUUUACUAACAGAAUGCUCUUUUGAACUACUUACUACAGCUUCAUAGCAAGUGGUUUGCAAUUUCAGGCUGUAUUUAGCGAAGUGUUAUUUGAAACAAACAAACAAACCAAUGAAACAAAACAAAACAAAAGGAAGAGCAGAUAUAAUCCUCUGUCUAUUAAGUAUAUAUGACUGGGCCAGUAGUGUUACCAACUUUUGAUCUUUUGGAAAAAUGUAGAAUGAAUGCAAAGAGAGGGAGGGUGUGGAAAGGUGUCUGAUGGUGUGUUACCGAACAAGUGGGAGGAGGUGAGAGUUGUUGUUAUUAAGUUGUACUAAUAAAGUAGUUACAAGAGUGAUUUGCAUCGCAGCAGACUCCUUCCUGAGCUAAAAGGAAGGAGAGACAGUCUCACCUGUAGCCCGUCAGCUCCCAUUGUAGCUGCUGGGGGCUCUGGGAUACAGGGCUGCUAUCCGAGGUGAGAUGCUGAAGAUGAGAUGCUUGGAGACAUCACAGCAGCCUGGCUUCAGAACAAGCAGUAAGUUGCAGCAGUUUUAAUUAGAAACUGUAUUGUUUGAAAACCCCUGCAAGAUGUUAUCCAUGGCUGAUGUUAAGAGAAAGUAGAGAAUUAUGAGACAGGACUCUCACAUAAGGAUUUUUUUUCAUUAGUCCCUAUGCAUUCCCAUGUCUUCAAAGAGUAGCUGUGCUAUUUGUUUAUUAGUUUUUAUUAUAUUCAAUGCAACCUAUCUCACAGUGUCCCCUAUUUUUAUAUUUCUGGUGUGACUCCAUUAUUUGUACUGAGAAAAAGUUCAAUAUAUUGUAGAAGUUAUUAUAGGAUGAAUUAUUAAAUUUUCUUGUAUAAUAUUUUAAUAAAUAAUAUCUAAUGAGAAAUAUUAGAUAUAACUACUUUCACAGAUGACUGGGGGGAUGGCAAGCAAUUUUGGCAGCUAUGAAAUGUUUGAGAUUGUGAUAUAUACAGGAACAUUGAGGAUUUUUUUAAUACUAACCAUGCAAUACCUUGAUUCAGACACAGUUUUGAAGUGAAGAUCUGCAACAAGUUGCAGCAAUUUGUUGACACUGCAUCUACCUACCAGCGUAGAUGAAGUACUUUCUGUUUAUAAAUGUAGAAUGACUAUACAGAUAAAUGAUAUUUGCUUGUUGUGCAAUUAAAAAGCUAAUGUUGACAUUUCAAUUACCAUCAUUAGCCUUCAGUCAGAACACCCUACUGAGAUGAAUGUGAAUGGCUUUCAACCACUCAGAGAAAUCUUGCCUCAGGCUGUCUGAAGACUUGGGCAUAAUUCUGCAUGCUGGGCUACUGUUCAGCUAACAUUUGAAAGGCUGCUCCCAUCACCACAAAAGGCAGAGUCUCCAAUAGGAUGUAAAGGAUACUUUAGCUCACAGUACAAUCCCAGUUUUUCGUACUGCAAAACAAUUCCAAAAUUUUCAUGUGCUGAGAGCUGUAACAAACUGCGGUGUUCACUACAUUUCUUCAAACAAGAUCCACAUUCCCCUGUUGCCAACCACUCCCCACUCUCACUAAAAACCUUCUCCUCUCUGCCUCUCCUGCACACCCUAUUUCCAAACCUUCUUUGCUUCCACAUCUUGAAAUUAUUGCUUCAUAUAGAUGCAAGUUGCUGUCCACCAAAUGAAGAGCCUGCUUUACUCAUAUGGACGUGAACUUCUGCAGUUGGGGCAGCAGGUGGGCACACGAACCAGCACCAGACCCACCCCAAAUUAAGAUGCAAGAUGAACUCACCCCUGGAUGCCAGUCACCUGCCACUUGUCCCUGCAGUGCCUCACAUCUUCAGGAUCCCUCCCCUGCUUCAGAGCCCUGUGCAAGGGUGCAGCUCCUGUGUCUCAGAGUACAGGACCUGAUGCCUCUGCUGCAUGGAGUGAGGCUGUGACAAGCUGCAGCCAGCAAUGUUUGUCUCCUACUGGCAGCCCAUAGCCUCCACCUCUCCGCUGUCCCAUACCAUGAUGAGAUGAAUGUCCAAGAUCAGGUCCCCUGGACAAGAAAAUGCCUUGAUAAAGAUAGUAAUUAAAGUGAUGGAAGAACAGCCAAUGGAGAAAAGAGAAAGUGGCACAUCCAAAGCCAAGUUUGUAAAGACACACAGCUGACACCAGUCAUCUAAAUGUCCAGACGGAUUGCCCAGCACAUCAGAAAAGAUUUAUCAGGAAAAGUCAGGAAACACUGGUUACAAGAAGGGAGAAUUUAGAACAGUUGAACCCUGUAUGGGGAGAGAUUAUCAUUGAGAGUCAGCUAUCAUUUAUGUCAUAUGAGUUAUCCAGACGGUGUAUUGCUGGGUGAAGAGAUGGCGAGUGGCUCCACAUGAAUCACUUGGGUUCUAGAUAGCCUCCUUGGCUCCAGCUCAAAGGCAGAUAUGCAUCAACGCCAUAGGCAUUUAUAUUGUGCUACCAAUGCCUGUAUGAUCCCAGUGUAUAAAUUGUCCCAUCCCCUGUUUCCUAGAUAAUAGAGAAUUGAUUUUAGUGCAGAAUUACACUACAAGCUUUGUACUGGCAUAACUGCCGGUGUGGAAGAUCAUAUUCAAAGUCACAAUAGACUUUUUUUUAUUAUUUUUUUCUCUCCCCUCUCUUUAUCUUAUGACUAUUUUUCUCAUUUUACAGUCUGGCAAAACUGAUGCGUAAAUAGUUUAGGUGACUUAUACAAAGUCACUCUUCAGGAGACUAUAAGUAAAAAUAUAGACUAAGUUGUCUGAAUCCCUUUAUAAGCAGUUUUUGUCUCGUGUUUUGGCCUGACUUAGUAUCAUCUCACAUUCCAAGGACUUGUGAGCAUAUAUUGUCUUAAACAAUGCAUGACAGUGGCUGUGUGACAUUUGCCAGACCUCUGAAAACUUAAUGCAGAAAUCUAGUAGUGAUUCUAAUGUGCUUUUAUGUACACAUCAAAUCAAAUCUCACUUUGGUCUACAGUUGCAUUCUAGUAAGUCAGGUUUAUCCCUGUCAUAACUCUGUUGGCUUUAAUGAAGCAGCACCAGAAACUAGGCUUGUCCAUGAAAUGUUAAGGUAAGUUUCAGAAAUACAUUUUUUAGCCAAUGUGCCACUACUCUCCACAGUGGAUAAAAUACAUUACACAUUACCUGGACAUUGCAUGAGACAUAAACAGAGAUAAACACCAACAAUUUGAGUGCAAUGUAGAAGAAAGUAAGGUUUUUAUUCAUCUGAUUUCUUCAUGUGCUGACAGAUGUCAGCAAACUGGGUGCAAACUGUGUGUUUGAAACCAUGGCCAGGCACAUCCAAAAAGUAAGUAACAUAUAAAAUGACAAAAAAAAAAAAAAAAAAGAGAGAGAGAGAGAAAGGGAAAAAAAAAAACUAAAACACUGCUGGAGAGAUUAAAAAUACCUAUUAAAAAUUGAUUAAAUAAGAACACACAUAUUUAAAGUUCCUUUUUUACUUCUACCCUGCAGAUAACAAUAGAAAGAUGAAACCAUGCUUUUGGACCAGAAUUCACUCUAAAUCCAGGUGUAUUUUUCUUCCAAAUCCAACCUUAGUUUAUGAGAAGAUAGCAAAAAAAAAUUCCUGUGAACAGUGUUUUUUCUAUGCAAGGGAGGUCACUAUGGCAGAAAUUUCACAAGAACAGCUGGAAUCAUCGGAUUUCCACCUUUCAGUUGGCUAGGGGCCAAAAUGACCAUUGAUUUUUCACUUUCUGCUGGAGCCUGUAAAUAAUCUUUUUUUUUUUUUUUUUUUUUUCAAUAGAAAAAAAUAGUGUGUUACUAAUUAGAUGCAACAAUGCUAGUCCUGAUCAGAUCAAUUUUUGAUUUUUUUCAUCUUAUCUAUUAAGUAUAGUCAUGCCUACAUCUUGCGCAUUCAGCCUUACUUGAACUCAGAUUAGAUACAACUUUCUCAUUUAUUAAUUUUUUCAUUAAAUGUACGGAGGAUUUUUGUGUUAUUAUGAGCAGUAAAACAAAGCAAUCAGUAAACAGGUUCAAUUCCUCUAUUUAAAUACCUAUAGAAAAUAAGUUAAAUAAAAAACAUUUGACAGUGAAUAUGUCCAGUGGGAACAUUUCCUUGUGUUUCACUUUAUAGUGGCUAAACAUUAAGUCAAGCCUUUAACUUGAAUUUAAUGUAUUAAAGCAAUUACAAUCAAGGCACAAGGCUUUUUACUGGGAAUUAAUGACUGACUGGGAGAGUUGAUGGGCCAAUGUGAAGCUCAGGGACAUUAACCUCAGCUAGUCAUUAGUUUCCCUGAAAAUUCUCUGUGCUGAAGUUGUUAGUGCUUUUUAUAAUCUUCUUAUAUAUUAAAUAUAUAUAAACAUUUUGCCCAUCAUCCAAGCAAUUUUUGAAAGAUACCACAGUAAGGAGACAUUUAGGCAAUAAUGUUGUUUCCCUUGGCUUUUCUGAUAAAUUAAAAAUGAACGGCAAAAUUAAAAAAGAAACAAACCCAACCUAUUUUAGAAGCAAAAUAUGAGAUCCUUAAAUGAACACUGGAAGGAUUGUUGAAGAAUGCCAGGACAAUAAUUCACAGACACAGACAGUGAGGCAGGCAGACAGCUUCUGCAGGCAGUGGCACUUGAGCAGCUGUGGUACUUGAGCAUCUGUAGCAGAGCUGCUGGCAGCAAUACAUCUCCUCAUUUCUUCCAGUGGUCCCACUAAAUCAGAUCACUGAUGUCCCCUGCCCUGACACUCCUUGCCCUUGUUCAUUGCUAGUACCUCACGUUUGUACAUUUCCCCAGGAACAAUUUGCCCCAAGACUCCUCCUGAAUUAAUUUUAACAUUUGGAACAGAAAACGUUGAUGGAAAAUAACCACUUUCCAAUUGCCAGCAGGUUGAGGGAAGUAAGCCUUCCCCUGUUGCUUGUAACUGGUGAGAAACACCAGGAGUGCUGGAUUCCCAACUUUCAUUCAGUUUUGGGCACUCCAGAACAGGAAAGACAUGGACACACUGGAGAGAGUCCAGUGAAGGACCACAAAGAUGAUGAAGGACUGAAGCAUCUCUCCUGUGAAGAAAGGCUGAGAGAGUUGGGACUAAUCAGUCUGGGGAAGAGGAUCGUGGGAAUCUUUUCAAAGUCUAUAAAUACCUGAAGGGAGGGUGCAAAGAGUACAAAGCCCAUCCUUUUUUCAGUGGUGUCCAAUGACAGGGCGAGAGGCAAUAGGCACUGUCUGGGACGUGGGAGGUUCCAUCUGAACUUUAGGAACCACUUCUUUACUGUGCAAGCAACUGAGCCCUGGCCCCAAGAGGUUGUGGAGUCUGCCUGUUUGGCAGCCAUCUGGGCAUGGUCUUGGGCAACUGGCUCAAGCUGUCCUGGCUUAUGAAGGGGGGUUGUACCAGAUGACUUCCAGACUUCCAGAGGUCCCUUUCAACAGCCAUUCUGUGAUUCAGGGUCAAAUGAGAGGUUUGAACACAUAAAAGUUUAUUUAUCUGGAUUUCUCUGGAAACCCUUGAGUAAUGACCCAAUUUCCAACAUAUUCUAGUUAGACAAAGGAUCUGCAUGUUGAUAGACUCAUGGGAUUAGUUCCUAAGCUAUUCCAUUGAGUUUAAAACCAAAAAAGAACACUUGUGACCCUCGAUUCUGACAUGUGAUAUUGUGGUACUUUAUAUAUAGCUUGACAGGCCAUUUUUUGUGCAUUAUUAGUUAUUAUUAAGAAUGUUCAUUGCAGUAAUAUCUCAGGACCAAUGGGGAAUAGCAUCCUAUUGUGUUGAGGGCACUAAACAGACUGAUGAGCAUUUCUAUGGUAUUCACAGUCAUUUCUUAUGCCAGUUGAAACAAUAAAUAGAUGAUCCAUAGAAACUACAUGGAACUAUAGAAAAUACAUAUAUAUAGAGAGAGAGAAACUAUAAGGAACAGAAAUGGUGAUGGCAUUCUUUGUCCAGCUUUCAUUUUCUGCCCUUGAUGGUAUUGAUUUAACCUUUAUGAAAAUUAAUCUCAGGAGAGGAACAAAGCCUGAAAAUUUUACUUUUAAGGCUUGUAAUUUCCAAGAGCAAUUGCAAGCUGUUGCUCUUCCUGUGGGUGUUGGGUUUUUUGUUUGUUUUUAAUGGAUUGAUUUUCUUAUUUGAUAAAGUGGUUACCAGCCAGUGCUGUCUAAGUCGGCCAACUUGUUAUCAGGAGUCAUACAUUCAUCUUAUAAUUGGCAAUAAAUUGUUCCAUCUCCUACUGUAGCUUGUUUAAAAAUCAGUCAUUGUCACUAACAGCUGAAAACUCAGCAUAUGGAAAUCCUGGAAAAUGAUGUUGAACAUGGAGAAAAUUUUAUUCAUCUUGAUAUUUUUGCACACUUGUGAAGUAUUUGGGACUGAUGUGUUCAUGAGAAAAUAUAGGUGGUAAAAUAAUGUCAAUCCUUUAUUAGACCUAGUGACAAAAUUAUUCACUUCACUUGGGGAAUACCCUCUAUAUUAACAUAUUUUAAAUGUAACCAUGUAACCCUUCAGCAUGGAGAAACAAAGAAAAAAAAAACACAGACAAACAUGAUUGGGGAAGGGUCACUCUUUAAUCUGAAGCCCAACUUCUAUUUAGUACAUGUUUUUCCAUAGCUAUGCUGAUUUUCAUCAUUGAUGCAGCCCUCACAAGCAAGCAAGGAAGUGGAGUGCAACCCUGGCUUGACCUGAUCAGAAACAAAACAGGAGAUACCACCUCCCUCAUUGCUCCAUUUUGGCCAUGGUUAGGAAAGAGGAAGUUUAAAGAGGAUCCUAAACCAAAAGCACCGGUACAGCCAUUCAGCAGACACCAGGGAAGUUGUGACCCAAGUCAUAAUCUGAACUUUGUGGCUGAUGCUUCCCUCUUGAAAGUGCUAAAUUAAACUCUAAAGCCCAGAAUGAGGCUGUAUUGACAGAGAGGAAAAGACAAUUCAGAAAUAUACUGUGUUGCCUGAAACAGUGGCAAAUUAUCCUGUAUGAAACUAUAAAAAGUUGUAUCAGUGCACACACACGCACGCACACACCCCUUUCUCCCCCCUCCCUCCCCACCUUUUUUUUUCCUUUUUGGCACAACAUGAUAUAUUUGACAAAACAUUUUCCACUAACCAAAAUAAUUGCCAGUGAGGAGGUUGUAUUUUAUCAUUUGAGCUGCCUAUCCCAGCUGUUAGAGUUCUGUUGGCUCAGUGUUUGAUAUUUAUUCAUUUUUCUUAGAAGCAUCAAAUUCUCAUCUUUGGAAGAUGUUGACUGAAUAGUGAUAAGUAUUUGGUACUCACACAACAAGUGACAUCACUGCAAUGCAGUUAUGAGUUUCAUAAUCUGCAAGUUCAGAGCAUUAUUGCAGAAGGACAUGGGGGUUUACUUAUAUCAUACUGAACCAUAAAUAAGUUUUCCACUUGCUUAUGUAAAACUUGUGAAUUCUAUAACUCUUUCCCCCCCUCCAAGAUGCUUCACAAUGCUUCCUCAGGCAGUUAACCAUGUGAUUAUCCUAUUCAUUGCUAUUAUAAAAUAAUCAGUUAAUCAAUGUACAUAUUGCAUGAAAUGCUAGAAGCAGAGCCACUGACUUACAAACGGUUGGAAGACAGUCAGUCCAUGAAUUGGAGUGUUAUAAGCUGUAAUGACCGUAAAGAACUGGAAAGGGGGCCCUGUAACUCGUCUUCCAUCUGGCAAUGGAGUUGCUAAAGAACUGUACACAGGCAGAGAGAGAUGUUUACAGAGAAUUGCAAUGACUCAUUAGCAUGGCAGCUAUUUGGUUAACCAAUUAAGAAAUUAUAUUGAUUUGCACAGCAGUUCUUAGAAACACAAGCCAGUUUUAUUGCUGCUGCUUUUAAUAAGCAAUGAUGUCUCAAACUAGGUCUGGUCUAGGGGAAUGGUUGCAUUAGAAAACCGAUUAAUGAGUGCAGAGAUAAAAAUUACUUUGUGUUGAUGUGGACAAAAAUGGACAUAGUUCCUAGGGAGUUAUGUGGUUGAGUCAUGUGAUCAUGGACAUCUAAUUUUUCUAAUCCAUGGUUGUCUGCAGUCAAUUUCUAAGUAUUAAAAAAUAGCAAAAAACAAACACAAACAAACAAACAAAAAUAAUCACUUCCUAGUUUGCUGGAAAUUAGGUCUCUUAUUUUAAAUGAAAAAUACAGUUCUUUGAAAACUUGUAUUGGAAUCUCCACAUCAAGUGUAUUGCUUUUUGGCUUCCUCUUGCAGAUGGUUCCAGCAUAACCCAUGUAUUUUCUGUGCAAAAAAAAUAAAAAUGAUGUUAGAUCUGCUGAAAUCCAAUGGAAGAAAAGCAUGGUGAGGGUUUGAGCAAACCCAUGAUGAAGGCAGUUCUAAGCAAUAAUAUUGAUUCUAUUAUAUACAUUUAACAAGUUGCACUGAUCAUGAAUCUCUUACAUGUACUGCAAAGAAAACAGAUGAGUAGAAGAGUUUUACCAAAUGAAUGUGUUUCCAUGGAAUUGACACUGACACUCUAGCCUUCCUUUGCUUCAGAUGGAUGUUUGCUAGUAUGAUCAUAUUCAUUGUGAAGAGACCAGAAAUAGUCAGUAGUGAAUAAAGUGAUAUGAAGGAAAAUCUCCCUCUUAUUCUUGAAUUGAUAAUUGGAGAAUUUGCAUCUCCAAAACAAUGCAUUUGGAAAGAUUAUUACAACAUUAACUUGAAACAGCCAAUUUCACUCAUGCCAAGUCUCUUAAAAUGCUGUUCACAUUUUCAAAACAUUUUAUGAAUAAAUAUGUCUUAGAUAUUCUUUUUCAAAGAAGCAGAAAAAGACUUUUGAGGGUCAUUUUAAUAGGAGGAUGAUAAUUUAACCUGGGAGUAAAGAUGAAAUAUGAGUGUUCGUUGUUGUUACAUGCAAUUGGUAUUCAUUCCCAGUGAUUUCCAAAAAAGCAAAUUCUUUGAGGGAGAACUCAUUCUAGGGAGCUGAUCAGCUGCCUUCUUCUGUUUUUUCGUUUGUUUGUUUGUUUUGUUUUUGGGUUUUUUUUUUGUUUGUUUGUUUGUUUUUUUGUUUUUUGUGUGUUUUGUUUUGUUUUUUUCCUAGUCAUAGCUUAAAGCACAGAUUUUAUGGUGCCGUUUGCUUGGAAACAGUGUAUGUUCAAAACACCUUCUAUCCUUUGCAGAGGUCUGGCCAUGCUUCUCCCACUACCACCAUGUUAUAGUUCCUUCCCACCACCAGUUAAUUUCCCUCACUUUUCUGAAUUCCAUGUCAAGGAAUUUGAUCUCUUCUCCACUUCUGCUGUUCUGCAGAACUUUCACAGAUGUUCAAAAUAUUUAAGUACCCUUAUUGCACUGUGUUGAUUUUCACUGUACAUAGCAAAUUGAAGCCUGAAAUUAGGCUGCUUGUGAUACAUUUUGCAAUGUGUAGUUAGUGCAUAAGGGCUAUUUAACACAGAUUUCUCAUUAGCAUAAUAUUCUUGCAUGUUAAAUGUUUUAUAUGGCAUUUCUGUAGCUACUAUGGGCAAUAAAUAAAAUGGCUUUCCCAUGAGAAAAUAUUUUGCUGCUAAAUGUAGUUAUGAAGGUGCUUUAACUCCUUACUACUGUUCAUAAUCAUCAUGAGCUAUCCUAGCUCUGACUUGUGUGUGCUAUCUGUGAACAUCAGAGCCCACUCUGUUAUUCUUCCCCAAACAGCUGUUGGCUUUGUUAUACCAAAUUCUGAUUUCCAUCAUAUAGACUGACAUCACUUCUUUGAUGUUAAAUUGAUCAAAAUUUGCUUCAUCACCUCGCUAACUCUUCCAAGGGAUUUUGCGUGUAUACAAAGAAAACAAAGAACAAGCAAACAAACCAAAACCAAAACCAAAACCAAAAAAAAAAAAAAAGAAUAAAAUAAUAAUAAUAAAAAAAGAUACUUUUCCAGAAUUAGUUUUAAGAAAUGACUUUGACACAGAGUGAGAGCUCUGUGCCAGUCAUUCAGACUUGUUUAACCAAGAAGCAGAACAGGCUGAACAAAGAAGAAAGUGGCAUUUAAGGUGACCUGCACUGCCCAUGUUCUUCAAGGUGUAAACAUACUUGGGCAGCAGCUGAAAUAAGGAGUUGGUUGAGAAAAAUGAUAGGACAGAAAAGGUUUUGCAUGGUCUGGCCUCAGACAGGAGGCGGGCUAGGUGGGACGAGAUGUGGUAGAUUAGACUCGCAGAUACAAGAUGGUGUUUAAUAGGUUCUGGUGGAAGGAAAGAGAGAGAUGAUUUACCACCACAUAAAGUAAAUGGAUGGUGUGUUGAGGUGUAUCAGUAGGAGUACUGAGUCACAGCUCAUCAUCUGGAAAACUGGAAAUUUUCAGUACUACAGCAACCCAGCAGUUGCUGUGUAUAUUCUGGGAGCAAGGAGAAAGUGACAAGUAAUGCUUUUUGGAGCAUAUUGUAAAAUAAGUGGGUUUUAUCUUCUGGGUGUUCCCAUCCUAUAAGUUUUCCUGUCAGAUUUGGGAGAACGACAUUUCACUUUGCCUUUGGUUUGUCUCUGAAUUAUUGUAACAAUGGAAUUUAUUCUUCCAAACCUGAGUUGCUAGGAGAAAAGGGUCGAGCUGUUUGGGAGGUGGGUGGGAAAGAGGAAGGGUGUGGGGGGAGAAGAAAAGGAAAGAGAUUCUGUGCAUGACAGAUCUAAUUUUUUGCAUUUUGGGGCAAGUAUGAUAGCUUCUGAUUAAUAUUCAUUGUGAAGUGACCAAAUGCUUGUUUUCUUGGUUUAAAAAUCAGAAUAAAGAGAACGUUUCUACUCUGGUGGGCUAGCUUAGCAGCUCUUAGCUAGCUUCUAGCAGCUUCAUGCAAGACCUGACAGGAGUGAUGACUUUUUUUUUUUUUUUCUAAAGGAACAACCUAUGCAGUGGACAUGCUUCAGUGAAAAAGACCAGAAAUUUCUUCUAGAAUUUUAAUACAGUCGUAACAGUUAUAGGAAAGACACCUGCAGACAAAACAGUAUAUUUGUGGAGGAUUUAGUGGAAAAUGACUUGUUUUUUCUAGACUGGAAGCAUGUCAGUACUGUCUCUGUUGCUGAUGCAUUGUUUGAAGAGAGACAGUUCAACAAGCCAGUCCUUGUAAGCACUGACAGACCUUGUUGUAGGUAACUAUGGAGUUUCAGGGUGCUAUUUGUUGGUCAGUCACUCUUGUAAUCUGCCAGUUAUACUUAAUCAAAAUGUAGCUGAAGAGGCAAAAGUGGAAAACCUCUCCUUUUUAAUAUGUCUCGUAUAAUAAUUUCAAGGAGCCAGAGGAUAAACAUUCAAUCUAAAGAUAGCACAUUCAUUAUUACUUAUUAGAUGUAAAAGCUUGUGCUAUAUGUUUAACAACUGUCUUUGUAUGUGGAGUUAUGGAAACCAAAUUGUAAAUGUUCACAUUGAGUUACUGUAAGAGUCUGCUGCUCGGAUUGUUCCAUUUCUGGAAUGAAAGACCAGGAACUUUUUCUUGGUUGGAGUAGAGUCAAAAUGCUUUUACUAAAUGCAUGUAACAAUUCUUAUCCUCAUCUCUACAGGAUUAUUUAUACUUUUUUGGGGUGCAAGCUUUUUUUGGUUUCGAUCUUUUUGCAUUAAGCACAUCUGCACAGCUAGAAUGUUUAUUUGAGUAAUUUUGUGAAAUUAAAUUGUUUAAGCUUUUUUCUGAUAAGUACCUUUCUGUGUUGCUAUUAAAAACACGUGCUA